CCCCCAUUCGCAUGUUGGAAAUUGAAAUUUAAGAAGAUUAUGAAAGCGUAGAGAGAACAUUACCGGAUAAUUGAUACAUCUACAUGUAAGUCACCUAAAAUCAUACAUCUACCAGCUAGUUCAUCUAAAUUGAUUAUUAAGCAUUUUCGUCAGUAAUUUUGUUCCAUUUUAGCACCAGAGAGUGCAAGAAAUGGCAUUUUCAAGGCUUAAUUUUUCACAUUUUCCGUCGAUUCCCCCCUAGAUUUCAGUCCCUCUCACUUUAAAUAUGCUCUUAUAUUCCACUGCCUCUGUGGUUGCUGUGUAGCCUUUCAAUAAAAGUACCGUCUGCUGAUUCUGCUCCAGUUUCUUGUAUAAUUUGGUUAAGGGUGGCAUCUCUCAUUACCAAAUUUUGUUGCAUUUGUUUGUCUACUUUUUCCUUGGUUGAUUUUUCCAUGUUACAAAUCACUUCUCCCGUAAGCAGAUCUUGAUUGUAGUCAUCUUCAAAGCCUGGUAGUUCUUGCAUAAUUCAUUUCAGCUAGCUGCUUUGGGGCAUUGAGUGAUUGAGUAGAGUUUUCUCCAGAAUGGAUUCAGGACAAAAAAUUUGUUAUCUGAUCUGACUAGCACAUAGAUCCUCUUGAAAACGUUCUAUAACACUAUGAGCAGUGCAUAUUAAUCAGUUCUUGAUGCAUAAAGUACGCUACAGGAUUUUACCCUGAGUGUCCACUGUCCAGGUAUUGGGUCUUACAUGUGGACUUACAGAUCUCACAGUAUUUCGGGAAAAUAUAUUAUUUUUCUUGAUCAAACUCGGCAAGUUUCAAUGCAAGGAACGCAUUUAUGAUUGCACGUUCCGUAGUUCUAAUUCC